UGGGGAAUAUUGGACAAUGGGCGCAAGCCUGAUCCAGCAAUGCCGCGUGAGUGAUGAAGGCCUUAGGGUUGUAAAGCUCUUUCGCCCGCGACGAUGAUGACGGUAGCGGGAGAAGAAGCCCCGGCUAACUCCGUGCCAGCAGCCGCGGUAAUACGGAGGGGGCUAGCGUUGUUCGGAAUUACUGGGCGUAAAGGGCGCGCAGGCGGCUGCUCAAGUCAGGCGUGAAAGGCCUGGGCUCAACCCGGGAAUUGCGCUUGAGACUGGGCUGGCUUGAGUGCGGGAGAGGAUGGUGGAAUUCCCAGUGUAGAGGUGAAAUUCGUAGAUAUUGGGAAGAACACCGGUGGCGAAGGCGGCCAUCUGGACCGCAACUGACGCUGAGGCGCGAAAGCGUGGGGAGCAAACAGGAUUAGAUACCCUGGUAGUCCACGCCGUAAACGAUGAGUGCUAGACGUUGGGAAGCCUAGCUUUCCGGUGUCGCAGCUAACG
rnacentral:rRNA from 1 species